CCUACGGGAGGCAGCAGUGGGGAAUAUUGCGCAAUGGGCGAAAGCCUGACGCAGCGACGCCGCGUGAGGGAUGAAGGUCUUCGGAGCGUAAACCUCUGUCAGCAGGGAAGAACGGUCACUGUGCUAAUCAGCAGUGAAUUGACGGUACCUGCAAAGGAAGCACCGGCGAACUCCGUGCCAGCAGCCGCGGUAAUACGGGGGGUGGGAGCGUUAAGCGGAAUUGCUGGGCGUAAAGCGCUCGUAGGCGGUAUGGCAAGUCAAGGGGGAAAUCCCCGCGCUCAACGUGGGAACUGCCGUUGAAACUGGCAAACUUGAGUGUGUGAGAGGAUAGUGGAAUUCCAGGUGUAGGAGUGAAAUCCGUAGAUAUCUGGAGGAACAUCAGUGGCGAAGGCGACUAUCUGGCACAUAACUGACGCUGAGGAGCGAAAGCGUGGGUAGCAAACAGGAUUAGAUACCCGAGUAGUC
rnacentral:rRNA from 1 species